rnacentral:rRNA from 1 species
UUCCGGUUGAUCCUGCCGGACCUGACUGCUAUCGGAUUGAUACUAAGCCAUGCGAGUCUUUGUAGUAAUACAAGGCAUACGGCUCAGUAACACGUAGUCAACCUACCCUAUGGACAAGAAUAAUCUCGGGAAACUGAGCAUAAUUCUUGAUAGAUCAUAAUGCCUGGAAUGGUUUAUGGUUAAAAUGAUUCGUCGCCAUAGGAUGGGACUGCGGCCUAUCAGCUUGUUGGUGAGGUAAUGGCCCACCAAGGCGAUAACAGGUACGGGCUCUGAGAGGAGAAGCCCGGAGAUGGGUACUGAGACACGGACCCAGGCCCUAUGGGGCGCAGCAGGCGAGAAAACUUUGCAAUGUGCGAAAGCACGACAAGGUUAAUCCGAGUGAUUUCUGCUAAAGAGAUCUUUUACCAGUCAUAAAACCACUGGUGAAUAAGGGGUGGGCAAGUUCUGGUGUCAGCCGCCGCGGUAAAACCAGCACCUCAAGUGGUCAGGAUGAUUAUUGGGCCUAAAGCAUCCGUAGCCGGCUCUGUAAGUUUUCGGUUAAAUCCAUGUGCUCAACGCAUGGGCUGCCGAAAAUACUGCAUAGCUAGGGAGUGGGAGAGGUAGACGGUACUCAGUAGGAAGGGGUAAAAUCCUUUGAUCUAUUGAUGACCACCUGUGGCGAAGGCGGUCUACCAGAACACGUUCGACGGUGAGGGAUGAAAGCUGGGGGAGCAAACCGGAUUAGAUACCCGGGUAGUCCCAGCUGUAAACGAUGCAGACUCGAUGAUGCAUUGGCAUAUAGCCAGUGCAGUGUCGCAGGGAAGCCGUUAAGUCUACCGCCUGGGAAGUACGUACGCAAGUAUGAAACUUAAAGGAAUUGGCGGGGGAGCACCACAAGGGGUGAAGCCUGCGGUUCAAUUGGAGUCAACGCCGGG